UACGGGGGGGGCAAGCGUUGUUCGGAAUUACCGGGCGUAAAGGGCGCGUAGGCGGCCUGCUAAGUCGGAUGUGAAAUCCCUCGGCUCAACCGAGGAACUGCAUCCGAUACUGGCGGGCUUGAAUCCGGGAGAGGGAUGUGGAAUUCCAGGUGUAGCGGUGAAAUGCGUAGAUAUCUGGAGGAACACCGGUGGCGAAGGCGGCAUCCUGGACCGGUAUUGACGCUGAGGCGCGAAAGCGUGGGGAGCAAACAGG
rnacentral:rRNA from 1 species